AACGAACGCUGGCGGCAUGCCUAACACAUGCAAGUCGAACGAGACCUUCGGGUCUAGUGGCGCACGGGUGCGUAACGCGUGGGAACCUGCCCUUAGGUUCGGAAUAACUCACCGAAAGGGGUGCUAAUACCGGAUAAUGUCUUCGGACCAAAGAUUUAUCGCCUCUGGAUGGGCCCGCGUUGGAUUAGCUAGUUGGUAGGGUAAAAGCCUACCAAGGCGACGAUCCAUAGCUGGUCUGAGAGGAUGAUCAGCCACACUGGGACUGAGACACGGCCCAGACUCCUACGGGAGGCAGCAGUGGGGAAUAUUGGACAAGGGGCGAAAGCCUGAUCCAGCAAUGCCGCGUGAGUGAUGAAGGCCUUAGGGUUGUAAAGCUCUUUUACCCGGGAUGAUAAUGACAGUACCGGGAGAAUAAGCUCCGGCUAACUCCGUG
rnacentral:rRNA from 1 species